AUUGAACGCUGGCGGCAUGUCUUACACAUGCAAGUCGAACGGUAACAGGUCUUCGGAUGCUGACGAGUGGCGAACGGGUGAGUAAUACAUCGGAACGUGCCCGAGAGUGGGGGAUAACGAGGCGAAAGCUUUGCUAAUACCGCAUACGAUCUCAGGAUGAAAGCAGGGGACCGCAAGGCCUUGCGCUCACGGAGCGGCCGAUGGCAGAUUAGGUAGUUGGUGGGAUAAAAGCUUACCAAGCCGACGAUCUGUAGCUGGUCUGAGAGGACGACCAGCCACACUGGGACUGAGACACGGCGCAGACUCCUACGGGAGGCAGCGGUGGGGAAUUUUGGACAAUGGGCGCAAGCCUGAUCCAGCAAUGCCGCGUGCAGGAUGAAGGCCUUCGGGUUGUAAACUGCUUUUGUACGGAACGAAAAGCCCUGGGUUAAUACCCUGGGGUCAUGACGGUACCGUAAGAAUAAGCACCGGCUAACUACGUGCCAGCCGCCGCGGUAACAC
rnacentral:rRNA from 1 species